ACUGCUGUUCCUGCCUUUGUGCUUGCUGCUGUCCUGGGGAUUGGUGCUGACUUGCCCUCUGCCCCAUGGAUGUGGAGUGGAGGCAGCAUGUGGAGCUAGGAGCUGGUCACCGCUUCCCAGGGGCCGGUGUCGUGAAAUUCUAAUGGGGACAUUAGAAUUAGAGAGAAAAAUCCCUUCCCACUGCUGAGUGGAUUACAGCCAGCGUGUCGACUCAGGACAGGUGCAGUGCUGUCUGCAGCUGAGGACAGUUGAAAAGGAACUGAGGGGAUCAGGCUGCGUGAGCGCUAGAUGAAGCACCAAUGGUACUGCAAGACAGCUACUGCACACACGUCUUGACCAGGCGCUGCUACCGAAACUCUCCGAUCAGUGGUGCAGGGACGCACCGACACCUGAAGUGGAGCACCCACAGGUACAGCACUCAAAGAAGAACCAGAUUCUCUGCACACAAGAACCAGGAGAAUUCUAGUGCCAGCUGUGGCAUUAGAAAUACCACAGAUUCAGUGAUGAGUAGAACCAUGGCCCUCUCCACCAGAAAGUGGAACAGGGCUGGUGUAAAUACCAUAUGCUGUACCCUAUUAAAGAUUAUAGCAGAUGUUGCUAUUGCAUAGGCUGUUCCCAAAGGUCCCAUUGGCAUGAUGCAUCUGAUUUGUCCAGUCAAUUCAGGCAUUGGCUUGAAGCCACAAUCUAGCCCCGUAAUAACAAUGAAUUAGCUCCAUACUGAGGAUUGACAUGAGAUCUCAGUCUAUUAGGUAAAUAGUACACAUUUUUCAGACUAUGUGCCCAAAUAAGUAUUUACUUGAUGAACUGUAACAGCUCUGAAGGAGCAUUUUGUGCUAUCGGCUAAAUAGUGCAUGUUUACAAAAUGAGGUAAUUAUAGAGUCAUCAUAUCAACUAUUUUGUGAGCUUGCCAGAGAUCUAGAUGGAACUGCUGCAAGAUUAAAUACUGGAGUUUGGCCACAAUAUACUGCUUAUCACUGACUCUGGCUCUGUGACUCUGUGUGCAUAACCAUUUACUGGAAUACCAAAAGGAGAAGAAAAGAAAGAAGGAUAGACUGAUAAUUAUUUCUUCUUAAUUAUGAUUUGAUUGUUUUCUGCUUUAGGAUGAUGAAAACAAAACACACACUCUUACGAGUUGAUUUGGUACUUCUACAUGAUAUGGAAUUAAAAGCAAAAGGAUGAAUUCUUCACUCAAUAUGCACAUAUAAUUCCUAUUAAGGAUAAUGGUUUUUUUGUGGUGGCAAACAUGAGUUUUGAAUGUUUAAUUUUUAACACAGAUUUCCAUUCAGUUAGCUCUAUUGGCAGCAAGACUUAUGGACUAUGAUGGAGGAAGUGAAACAGAGGUUAAAAAUAAUACUAAUUGUGAAUGCAGUGUUUUCCAGCACUGCAGUAUCUAUACCUGGACCUUAUAAAUUGAAGGUUUUGGUUAGUAGUACAGCUAGCACUUCCCUCUCACAGACUUUUGUUCUUCAUUAAUUUAAAUCAAGGUGGCUCAAGUGUAAUUCCUUUCAACACAGUCAACGAAAAUAAAAGUAAUCAACAGCUAAGGCAAUAAUAACAUCCACGCCAACCCCAAGUCACUUGCCUACCAGCUAUCUGCAAACAACAUAACACCCAAACUUACUCCCUUAGGUCAGGUUCCCUACUGUCUUGCUCCUCUGUGGUUAUUUCCACUUAUGUCAAGCAGGUGUCAAACACGACCAUUCUGACUUGCAAGGUGGCAAGGAAUCAGGCCACAAACCUCUACAACUAACUCUUGUUCAUUUCUAUGUACAACUACCCACAGUGCACUCAUCCAAUUCCUGAAAAACUCAUUCAGUCUCACAGCUGUAAUGCCAGACUGAGUAAAAUGAAGGUCUCUU